rnacentral:rRNA from 1 species
GAUCAUGGCUCAGGAUGAACGCUAGCUACAGGCUUAACACAUGCAAGUCGAGGGCAGCAUGAACUUAGCUUGCUAAGUUUGAUGGCGACCGGCGCACGGGUGAGUAACACGUAUCCAACCUUCCGUUUACUCAGGGAUAGCCUUUCGAAAGAAAGAUUAAUACCUGAUAGUAUGGUGAGAUUGCAUGAUAACACCAUUAAAGAUUUAUUGGUAAACGAUGGGGAUGCGUUCCAUUAGAUAGUAGGCGGGGUAACGGCCCACCUAGUCUUCGAUGGAUAGGGGUUCUGAGAGGAAGGUCCCCCACAUUGGAACUGAGACACGGUCCAAACUCCUACGGGAGGCAGCAGUGAGGAAUAUUGGUCAAUGGGCGAGAGCCUGAACCAGCCAAGUAGCGUGCAGGAUGACGGCCCUAUGGGUUGUAAACUGCUUUUAUAAGGGAAUAAAGUGGGAGUCGUGACUCUUUUUGCAUGUACCUUAUGAAUAAGGACCGGCUAAUUCCGUG